ACGGAAGGCAGCAGUGAGGAAUAUUGCGCAAUGGAGGGAACUCUGACGCAGCGACGCCGCGUGAAGGAAGAAGGUCUUCGGAUUGUAAACUUCUGUCUUCAGGGAAGAAACAAAUGACGGUACCUGGGGAGGAAGCCCCGGCUAACUACGUGCCAGCAGCCGCGGUAAUACGUAGGGGGCGAGCGUUGUCCGGAAUUAUUGGGUGUAAAGGGCGCGUAGGCGGCUAAGUAAGUCAAACGUGAAAACUACAGGCUCAACUUGUAGCUUGCGUUUGAAACUGCAUAGCUUGAGUGAAGUAGAGGUAAGUGGAAUUUCCAGUGUAGCGGUGAAAUGCGUAGAUAUUGGAAGGAACACCAGUGGCGAAGGCGACUUACUGGACUUUUACUGACGCUGAGGCGCGAAAGCGUGGGUAGCAAACAGGAUUAGAUACCCUGGUA
rnacentral:rRNA from 1 species